rnacentral:rRNA from 1 species
UACGAAGGGGGCUAGCGUUGUUCGGAAUUACUGGGCGUAAAGCGCACGUAGGCGGAUCUUUAAGUCAGGGGUGAAAUCCCGAGGCUCAACCUCGGAACUGCCUUUGAUACUGGGGAUAUCGAGUCCGGGAGAGGUGAGUGGAACUGCGAGUGUAGAGGUGAAAUUCGUAGAUAUUCGCAAGAACACCAGUGGCGAAGACGGCUCACUGGCCCGGUACUGACGCUGAGGUGCGAAAGCGUGGGGAGCAAACAGG